GACGAACCGUGCGAACGUUGUUCGGAAUCACUGGGCUUAAAGGGAGCGUAGGCGGGCUAUCAAGUCUGGGGUGAAAUGCCGCGGCUCAACCGUGGAACUGCCUUAGAUACUGACGGCCUCGAGGAAGAUAGGGGCAUGCGGAACUGUAGGUGGAGCGGUGAAAUGCGUUGAUAUCUACAGGAACUCCGGUGGCGAAGGCGGCAUUCUGGACCGAUAUUGACGCUGAGGAGCGAAAGCCAGGGGAGCAAACGGG
rnacentral:rRNA from 1 species